UACGUAGGGUGCGAGCGUUAAUCGGAAUUACUGGGCGUAAAGCGUGCGCAGGCGGUUCGUUGUGUCGGCGGUGAAAGCCCCGGGCUUAACCUGGGAAUGGCCGUCGAAACUGGCGAACUGGAGUGUGGCAGAGGGGGGUGGAAUUCCACGUGUAGCAGUGAAAUGCGUAGAGAUGCGGAGGAACACCGAUGGCGAAGGCAGCCCCCUGGGCUGACACUGACGCUCAGGCACGAAAGCGUGGGGAGCAAACAGG
rnacentral:rRNA from 1 species